rnacentral:rRNA from 1 species
AGGACGAACGCUGGCGGCGUGCUUAACACAUGCAAGUCGAGCGGAAAGGCCCUUCGGGGUACUCGAGCGGCGAACGGGUGAGUAACACGUGAGUAACCUGCCCCUAGCUCUGGGAUAGCUCCGGGAAACCGGGAUUAAUACCAGAUACGACCACUUUAGACAUCUGUCGUGGUGGAAAGGAUUCCGGCUAGGGAUGGGCUCGCGGCCUAUCAGCUUGUUGGUGGGGUAACGCCUACCAAGGCGACGACGGGUAGCCGGCCUGAGAGGGCGACCGGCCACACUGGGACUGAGACACGGCCCAGACUCCUACGGGAGGCAGCAGUGGGGAAUAUUGCGCAAUGGGCGAAAGCCUGACGCAGCGACGCCGCGUGGGGGAUGAAGGCCUUCGGGUUGUAAACCCCUUUCAGCAGGGACGAAGCGAAAGUGACGGUACCUGCAGAAGAAGCGCCGGCUAACUACGCGCCAGCAGCCGC